rnacentral:rRNA from 1 species
UAGUCCACGCUGUAAACGAUGAUUACUAGUUGUUGGCGAUACACAGUCAGUGACCAAGCGAAAGUGAUAAGUAAUCCACCUGGGGAGUACGUUCGCAAAAAUGAAACUCAAAGGAAUUGACGGGGGCCCGCACAAGCGGUGGAGCAUGUGGUUUAAUUCGAUGAUACGCGAGGAACCUUACCAGGGCUUAAAUGUAGUUUGACCGAUUUGGAAACAGAUCUUCUUUUUAAGCAAAUUACAAGGUGCUGCAUGGUUGUCGUCAGCUCGUGCCGUGAGGUGUCGGGUUAAGUCCCUUAACGAGCGCAACCCCUAUCUCUAGUUGCCAGCGGAUAAUGCCGGGGACUCUAGAGAAACUGCCCGUGCAAACGGUGAGGAAGGUGGGGAUGACGUCAAAUCAUCACGGCCCUUACGUCCUGGGGCCACACACGUGCUACAAUGGUCGGGUACAGAGGGGCAGCUACCUAGUGAUAGGGAUGCGAAUCUCGAAAGCCGAUCUCAGUUCGGGAUU